rnacentral:rRNA from 1 species
UACGUAGGUGGCAAGCGUUGUCCGGAUUUACUGGGCGUAAAGAGCGCGCAGGCGGUCGCUCAAGUCGCGUGUGAAAGCCCCCGGCUCAACUGGGGAGGGUCACGCGAUACUGAUCGACUGGAAGGCAGGAGAGGGUAGUGGAAUUCCCGGUGUAGUGGUGAAAUGCGUAGAUAUCGGGAGGAACACCAGUGGCGAAGGCGACUACCUGGCCUGUUCUUGACGCUGAGGCGCGAAAGCUAGGGGAGCAACGGGG